UACGAAGGGGGCUAGCGUUGCUCGGAAUCACUGGGCGUAAAGCGCACGUAGGCGGCUUCUUAAGUCAGGGGGUGAAAUCCUGGAGCUCAACUCCAGAACUGCCCUUGAUACUGAGGAGCUUGAGUCCGGGAGAGGUGAGUGGAACUGCGAGUGUAGAGGUGAAAUUCGUAGAUAUUCGCAAGAACACCAGUGGCGAAGGCGGCUCACUGGCCCGGUACUGACGCUGAGGUGCGAAAGCGUGGGGAGCAAACAGGAUUAGAAACC
rnacentral:rRNA from 1 species